UACGUAGGGUCCGAGCGUUGUCCGGAAUUACUGGGCGUAAAGAGCUCGUAGGUGGCUUGUCGCGUUGUUCGUGAAAUCUCACGGCUUAACUGUGAGCGUGCGGGCGAUACGGGCAGACUAGAGUACUGCAGGGGAGACUGGAAUUCCUGGUGUAGCGGUGGAAUGCGCAGAUAUCAGGAGGAACACCGGUGGCGAAGGCGGGUCUCUGGGCAGUAACUGACGCUGAGGAGCGAAAGCGUGGGGAGCGAACAGG
rnacentral:rRNA from 1 species